CCCUCUAGAUGUUUUGGACUACAACUCCCCUCAUCCCUGACCACCGGUCCUGUUAGGGAUGAGGGAAGUUGUAGUCCCAAAACAUCUGGAGGG